AGAGUUUGAUCAUGGCUCAGAUUGAACGCUGGCGGCAGGCCUAACACAUGCAAGUCGAACGGUAACAGGAAGCAGCUUGCUGCUUUGCUGACGAGUGGCGGACGGGUGAGUAAUGUCUGGGAAACUGCCCGAUGGAGGGGGAUAACUACUGGAAACGGUAGCUAAUACCGCAUAAUGUCGCAAGACCAAAGAGGGGGACCUUCGGGCCUCUUGCCAUCGGAUGUGCCCAGAUGGGAUUAGCUAGUUGGUGAGGUAACGGCUCACCAAGGCGACGAUCCCUAGCUGGUCUGAGAGGAUGACCAGCCACACUGGAACUGAGACACGGUCCAGACUCCUACGGGAGGCAGCAGUGGGGAAUAUUGCACAAUGGGCGCAAGCCUGAUGCAGCCAUGCCGCGUGUAUGAAGAAGGCCUUCGGGUUGUAAAGUACUUUCAGCGGGGAGGAAGGGGUUAAGGUUAAUAACCUUAGCCAUUGACGUUACCCGCAGAAGAAGCACCGGCUAACUCCGUGCCAGCAGCCGCGGUAAUACGGAGGGUGCAAGCGUUAAUCGGAAUUACUGGGCGUAAAGCGCACGCAGGCGGUCUGUCAAGUCGGAUGUGAAAUCCCCGGGCUCAACCUGGGAACUGCAUUCGAAACUGGCAGGCUUGAGUCUCGUAGAGGGGGGGUAGAAUUCCAGGUGUAGCGGUGAAAUGCGUACAGAUCUGGAGGAAUACCGGUGGCGAACGCGGCCCCCUGGACGAACACUGACGCUCACGUGCGAAAGCGUGGGGAGCAAACAGGAUUAGAUACCCCUGCUAGUC
rnacentral:rRNA from 1 species